GAGCGCCCGAGCUGAGCCACCUUCGGCGACCCCGAGCGCCGCAGCGCAACUCACCGCGGAGGCGCCCGGACGCGUCAAGAUUCCAGAACACUGGAUGAGGCGCUCAGACCCUUCCGGCUCCCACGGCGGCUCUUGAAGGGCUUGGCCGGUGGGUGUGCGGUGGGCACAGCCCCUGCCUUUCUCCUGGUGAGCAGCUCCCAGUGACCAGAGACGUUCCCGCUGAGACUUCCCGUGGGCACAGCUUGGGCCACUCUGCCGGCCUCCUAAAGCUUCUGGGUGAGAUGCGCCAGCCUGUGCACCUGGCCAAGAGUGUCACAGACCUUUGAGCGUGUCCUGGCUGAGCCCUGGCUCAGCCUCAUGGUGACCUGGGUCACAGCCCUCCUUGGCCACUGACCCUCGGUCUCCCCUUCCUUUGGCCUCUUGGUGCUCUGGGAAUUCCCAGGUGCUGAUGUGCCUGUGAGCCUCCACUCAUGUUCCCUCCUGGCGGCCCUCACCCUCCCUCCUCCCCCACUGCCUUCUCCGCCGCUGCCCGCACCCAGACUGCCCCGCCACCCAGCGGGGGCCCAGGCUGACUCUGCCCUCCCGCGCCCUCCUUCCCUCAUCCUUCCCCCUUCGCUGUGGCCUCCGCGGGGGUGUGUUUCUGUAGCUGCUGCUGCUUAGGCCUUGCUCCUCCCAGGCUGGCCCAGCUGGGACCCUUGGCAGUGACCUGAUCCCAAGACCCAGGAGAAGCCCAA